AAAGCCCAAGGUGGCAGAUGGUUAACAAUAGCCCUGGAUUCGUGUCACGGUCGGAGACCAACUAUCCAACUACCAACUGUCAGCGAAUUGGGCCAAUGUCAAUUCGAAUUGUUCACAACUGUUCACCUUUCUCCCCAUUACACACCUCACUCACUUUCUCCCCUGCCAAGUUGUGAAAUGGCUCGACGCAAAAGGAUAUUUAAUCAAAUCAGCUAAAUGAAACUGAUUAAUUAAAAAUAAACCUUUAAUGAUGCUUUGGAAAAUUGCUAAGAAACAAUAUCGAAAAGCUUUCACGUAACGCUCAUCCUAAGUUUGAGAAGUUUCAAUGGACCAUUCAAAUUCAACUUCGCCACAAGCUGAAACUAAGAUAAGAUGAAGUUAAACCUGGGCUCAAAUAUAUUCCACAUCAUGAGACGAUUAAUUGUGGCACUAAUCGAUCUAAUAAUUUAAUCA